rnacentral:rRNA from 1 species
GAUGAACGCUAGCUACAGGCUUAACACAUGCAAGUCGAGGGGCAGCAUGAGGUCAGCUUGCUGACUUUGAUGGCGACCGGCGCACGGGUGAGUAACGCGUAUCCAACCUGCCCAUAACUAAGGGAUAAUCCGUAGAAAUGCGGUCUAAUACCUUAUGUUGUCCGAGGAAGACAUCUGAUUCGGACGAAAGAUUUAUCGGUUAUGGAUGGGGAUGCGUCUGAUUAGCUUGUUGGCGGGGUAACGGCCCACCAAGGCGACGAUCAGUAGGGGUUCUGAGAGGAAGGUCCCCCACAUUGGAACUGAGACACGGUCCAAACUCCUACGGGAGGCAGCAGUGAGGAAUAUUGGUCAAUGGACGAGAGUCUGAACCAGCCAAGUAGCGUGCAGGAUGACGGCCCUAUGGGUUGUAAACUGCUUUUAUACGGGGAUAAAAGGUGUCACGUGUGACAUUUUGCAGGUACCGUAUGAAUAAGGACCGGCUAAUUCCGUGCC